rnacentral:rRNA from 1 species
CCUGUUUAUCAAAAACAUGUCUUUUAGGUUAAUAAUUUAAAGUCUAAUCUGCCCACUGAUAAAUAUUAAAGGGCUGCAGUAUAUUGACUGUACAAAGGUAGCAUAAUCAAUAGUCUUUUAAUUGAAGACUUGUAUGAAAGAUUUGAUGAAAUAUAAACUGUCUCUAAUUUAAAAAUAAAAAUUAAUUUUUUAGUUAAAAAGCUAAAAUUUUUUUAAAAGACGAGAAGACCCUAUAGAGUUUUAUAUAUUUAUUAUUUGAAGUUGUAUUUAUAAUUUAAAAUUUAAAAUGAUAAUUAUAUUUUGUUGGGGUGACAGAAAAAUUAAAAUAACUUUUUUUUUAUAAAAUACAUAAAUAAAUGAAAAUUUGAUCCAUAGAUAAUGAUUAAAAGAAAAAAUUACCUUAGGGAUAACAGCGUAAUAUUUUUUUUUAGUACAAAUAAAAAAAAAAGUUUGCGACCUCGAUGUUGGAUUAAGAUAAAAUUUAAAUGCAAAAGUUUAAAGUUUUGAUCUGUUCGAUCAUUAAAAUCUUACAUGAUCUGA